ensembl:lncRNA
UACAAAGAAAUGAAUAAUUAUGGAUAUGCAUUUCAUUCUCUUCAUGGUGAUGUAACCUGAAUACGUACACAAAGGUAGAAAUAUGCAACAUCCUCCUUUGCAUAUACCUCAUGGGUGUUAUUCUACACACUGACUAUUAUUUUAAUGAGCUCCACCUGAAACAAGACCACAUUUGGUUGGUCUGGACCGGACCAAAUCUGAAACAUCAUAGCUGUCUGUUUCACAAGUUUGAAUAUCACAGUACAAUAGAGCACAGUAGAGUACUACAGCACAUCACAGAGUAGAGUAUAGUUCAGUACAUUAUACUGUACUCUUCUUUAGUGUGGUCUACUGUACUAAACUCUGCUGUACUGAACUAUACUCUACUUUUCUGUACUGUACUGUGCUGUUAAACUUGUGAAACAUAGAUGUCUAUGAUUGGUGACCAAACCAAAUCAGAACCAAUCAUGGUCCAGACCGGACCAAAAACGUCCGUGGACAGUGAAAUCAAGGCCACGGCGGGCUGACCAAAUUUCAACUACUUUUCAACAUCCAUGGACGUCCUGUGUCGGUCGGUGCUCAGUGGGUGGGGAUGCUGGUUAGAGUAAAUAGAGAGAGAGGGGACUCAUGGGUAGGUAACAUUGAGGGGUCUACGUAUAAUACACAAAUGGCAGACGGAGCGCAGUGUUGCAAUGUCGUUAUUUUGUCACAAAAGGGCAGCUCCGUCAUUUAACCCAUUUUUUUCCUACCUGGAAAUCGAGACCCGACUUAUUAUUCCUUGCAAAGACUGAGGGGCAGUAUUGAGUGAGUUUUGCAAUGGAAGUCGCACCCCUGUGUGUCACAUACUUUCCAGUAUCCCUUCUGGUAUAAACACAGAAGAGAUCGAUGUUCUGCUUCUUCGUUCUACUAUUUGCAACCUUCCUUUUUUGUGCUUUUUAUUUCGAGAUUUGUUAAGCGCAAUUAUUUCUAUGUUUAGUUUGGAGGAGCGUCUGUGCGAGCUGGUGAGACAAUACGAGAACGUUUACAACCCUUUGAUGCGGUUGUAUUCGGACAAGCAAAAGACAACAGCUGGAGGGAGAUAUCACAGAAUUUGAACACCGGUACUGAUAUCAAAGAAACAUGGAGAAAGAUUCAGGACCGGUAUGUUUGCAAUCUGAAAAAGGUGAAGGAGAUGAGUAGUGGGUGUCUGUCCCACCGAUUGUCAGACCACUAGAUUGGCUUCGUGUUCACGUGAAGCAUCAUCAGACAGACACCAAUAUGCCAGAUACGUCCGGAGAUGGAGCUGAGCCCUGAGGGGCCCCAUCUACAGGUGGUUUAUCGCCCCUUGAUUCAUCAUCUCCCCGGCUAGCAAAGACCCGUGCUCUCUGCCCUGCAACUCCAUCAACCUCCAUCCCAUCUCCCCGGCCCAGCUCCAAUGGCCGGAAGAGGAAGACCGCCUGGGAUCCUUUGGACACUGACAUUAUGCAGCGCGUGGAUGCCUGCAGCAGGAGUUCCAGAAACCGCAGCAGUGUUCAGCAAAGGCUGUCUACGACGUCGUGGUACCAGGGAUGGUGUCUAUUCCUGCUGAUCAACGUCUCUUGUUUGUCUCACUCCAAAAACGAUUGUGCUUUAAAAAAUAUAUAUUAUUCAUACAUUAGGGUGGUGGGUAAUUUACUGUUUUUUUUUUUGCAUAUUUUUUUAUACUUAUUUCCUCAUUCAUGUGUUACUGGUGUUUACUUUGUUUUAAAAAGUCUUCCCUUUUCAUCACACUUCACCUGUUUUUACGUUGCACCAUUUUUUUCAUGUGGUAGUAAAUACAUAUCUAAAAGGUCUGCAAAUGUAUUUGUCUGGUUAUUUGUACUUAUACUGUACAAAUAUGUAAAUGCAACAUGAGUUACAGUUCACAUAAGGAAAUCAGUCAAUUGAAAUAAAUUCAAUAGGCCCUAAUCUAUGGAUUUCACAUGACUGGGCAGGGGUUCAGCCAUGUGUGGGCCUGGGAGGGCCAUAAGGCCACCCACUGGGGAGCCAGGCCUUGCCAAUCAAUUUGUUUUUUUUCCCCACAAAAGGGCUUUAUUACAGACAGAGAUACUCCUCAGUUUCAUCAGUUCUUAGGGUGGCUGGUCUCAGACGAUCCCGCAGGUGAAGAAGCCGGAUGUGGCGGUCCUGUGCUGGCGUGGUUGCAUGUGGUCUGCGGUUGGGAGACUGGUUGGACGUACUGCUAAAUUCUCUAAAAUGGUGUUGGAAGCAGCUUAUGGUAGAGAAAUGAACAUUCAAUUCUCUGGCAACAGCUCUGGUGGACAUUCCUGCAGUCAGCAUGACAAUUGCCCAUACCCUCAACUUAAGACAUCUGUUGCAUUGUUGUGACAACUGCGCAUUUUAGUGGCCUUUUAUUGCCCCCAGCACAAGGUGCACCUGUGUAAUGAUUAUGCUGUUUAAUCAGCUUCUUGAUAUGGCACACAUGUCAGGUGGAUGGAUUAUCUUGGCAAAGGAGGGAAUGCUCACUAACAGGGAUGUGAACCAAAUUUGAGAGAAAUAAACUUUUUGUGCGUAUGGAACAUUUCUGGGAUCUUUUAUUUCAGCUAAUGAAACAUGUACCAACACAUUUCAUCUUGGUUUUAUAUUUUUAUAUUACUGUUUUGAAUCAGUCACUCAGUAAACUUGUACUGCUUUGUACAUGAGCUAUGUAGAUGAGGUUAGUGUCUUGGGGGGAAACCGAUCGCUGCCCACACCUGCCCGCUCAUCUAGUAUCACUACUCUGUAC